GUUUUAGUCCUGAACCAGCCUAAAUAUUUCAGUGGUUCACAAUUUUUUUUAAGUGGUUGACAAUUUUGAGAGGGUGAGAGACAACAGAGUUUAUAUUUCAGUACAAAUUAUCUUAACUAUCCUCUUUAGACUGACAGUUGUCAUGGAGUCUCUCUGGCUUGGAGGAUGAAAAGGAUUCAGCUUUUCCAGCACUGAGUUUCCAGCCUCCCUGGCUGCCACUGUUCUCAAGGUGUGGGGACCCACUCAGAACCCCAGAGUUGGUACAAAGAUCAUUUUAAGGUGAAGACAUUUGAGAAUCAACAGAUGCCAGAUGCAGAAAGAAGCUUUCUCAGAGUUUCCCUUAUCUGACUAAAAUCUGAAACUUCUGGGAAAUAAUCCUUCCCUAAAUUCCCUCUUUUGGUGAUUCCCAAAACCCUUCUCUCUUGCUGCCCUUCCGUUAAAGAAGUUGGAAAGCAAAAUACUUUCUUUCCCAGCUGGCCGGCUUCUUGGUGUCUAAGGGGCACAGUUCCGACCAGUGAGACGUGGGCAGACAUCUGCUGAGGAAGUCCUGGAGGUGCUAGCUUUCUUGACACAAGAGAUGGAUGGGGCUGUUGUCUUCCACUUUCUUUCUGCCUUGAACAUGAUGGGAUGAUCGUGUGAAACUGCAGCAACAGUUUUGCAUCUAUGAGGCAACACACGUGCUGGCAAGACCAAGGAAACCCACAGAUACCUACAAAAUGCCAACCCGGGAAUCAUCAGGCUACUCAGACUCCUCUUUAGUUAGCUUCUUCCUGGAAUCCUGAAUCUUCCUGCUACAGGAUUUAGAGUGAGUUUAUACCUAUUAUAUUACUUCAUAUAAUUUUAAGAGAUCAUGAUAAAGAAUGAAGAUAAAUACUUGUGGCUACUCUUCUAUUUUGACCUUUGUAAUUCCUUGACUGUUACUGAAGGAACAGGAUGCUUGCUAGAAGCUAAAUCCAACCUAGCUUCUUUUUGGAUAUCUCAGGCUUCUCAAACUUUGUAUUUAUGAAACACACUUCAUUUAUCUACCCAGCUCCUAGCCCAACCUUCACCUCUUUAAAAUGCAAAUGUUUUGGAAGAGCCUGUAUAGCCAAGACAAUCCUAAGCAGUAAGAAGAAAGCUGGAGUCACCUCACUACCUGACUUCAAACUAUAUUACAAGGCUACAGUAACCAAAACAGCAUGGUACUGGUACCAAAACAGAUAUAUAGACCAAUGGAACAGAACAGAGGCCUCAGAAAUAACACCACACAUCUACGACCAUCUGAUCUUUGACAAACCUACAAAAACAAGCAAUGGGGAAAGAAUUCCCUAUCUAAUAAAUGGUGCUGGGAAAAAUGCCUAGCCAUAUGCAGAGAAUAGAAAUUGGACCCCUUCCUUACACCUUAUACAAAAAUUAACUCAAGAUGGAUUAAAGACUUAAAUGUAAAACUCAAAACCAUAAAACCCUAGAAAAAAACUUAGGCAAUACCAUUCAGGACAUAGGCAUGGGGCAAAGACUUAAUGACUAAAACACUAAAAGCAAUUGCAACAAAAGCCAAAAUUGACAAAUGGGAUCUAAUUACACUAAAGAGCUUCUGCACAGCAAAAGAAACUAUCAUCAGAGUAAACAGACAACCUACAGAAUGGGAGAAAAUUUUUGCAAGCUACUCAUCUGACAAAGGUCUAAUAUCCAGAAUCUACAAGGAAAUUCAACAAAUUUACAAGAAAAAAACAAAAAACCCAAUCAAAAAGUGGGCAAAGGAUAUGAACAGGCACUUCUCAAAAGAAGACAUUUACGCAACCAACAAAUAUAUGAAAAAAAGCUCAUCAUCAUGGUCAUUAGAGGAAAGCAAAUCAGAACCACAAUGAGAUACCAUCUCAUUAGAAUGGUGAUUAUUAAAAAGUCAGGAAACAACAGAUGCUGGCAAGGUUGUGGAGGAAUAGGAAUGCUUUUACACUGUUGAUGGGAAUGUAAAUUAGUUCAACCAUUGUGGAAGACAGUGUGGCAAUUCCUCAAGGAUCUAGAACCAGAAAUAUCAUUUGACCCAGUAAUCCCAUUACUGAGUAUAUACCCAAAGGAUUAUAAAUCAUUCUACUAUGAAGACACAUACACACAUAUAUGUAUUGCAGCACUAUUUAUGAUAGCAAAGACUUGGAACCAACCGAAAUGCCCAUCAAUCAUAGACUGGAUAAAGAAAAUGUGGCACAUACACACCAUGGAAUACUAUGCAGCCAUAAAAAAGAAUGAGUUCAUGUCCUUUGCAGAGACAUGUAUAAAGCUGGAAGCCAUCAUUCUCAGCAAACUAACACAGGAAGAGAAAACCAACACUGCAUGUUCUCACUCAUAAGUGGAAGUUGAACAAUGAGAACAUAUGAACACAGGGAGCGGAACAUCACACACCAGGGCCUGUCAGGGGUUGGGGAGCAAGGGGAGGGAGAACAUUAGGACAAAUACCUAAUGCAUGCAGGGCUUAAAACCUAGAGGACGGUUGAUAGAUGCAGUAAACCACCAUGGCACAUGUAUAUCUAUGUAACAAACCUGCACAUUCUGCACAUGUAUCCCAGAAGUUAAAGUAAAAUUAAAAAUAAAUAAAUAAAAUAUAAUAGAAAAAGAAAAAAUGCAAAUGUUUUGGAAUGGAUUAAAUUUCUCUGAAUGUCAAGCUGCU